AGAGUUUGAUCCUGGCUCAGGACGAACGCUGGCGGCGUGCCUAACACAUGCAAGUCGAACGGAGAAUUUCAAAGAGCUUGCUCAGAGAAAUUUUUAGUGGCUAACCUACCCAUAAACCCGGGACAACCCUUGGAAACGAGGGCUAAUACCGGAUAAUCUUUUGGCUUGGCAUCAAGCUUAAAGAAAAGGUGGCCUCUGAAAAUGCUACCGAUUAUGGAUGGACCCGCGUCUGAUUAGCUAGUUGGUGGGGUAAAGGCCUACCAAGGCGACGAUGGGUAGCUGGUCUGAGAGGAUGAUCAGCCACACUGGAACUGAGACACGGCCCAGACUCCUACGGGAGGCAGCAGUGGGGAAUCUUCCGCAAUGGACGAAAGUCUGACGGAGCAACGCCGCGUGUAUGAUGAAGGUCUUCGGAUUGUAAACCUCUUUUAUUAGGGAAGAACAGCUGAAGGUACCGUAAGAAUAAGCAUCGGCUAACUACGUGCCAGCAGCCGCGGUAAUACGUAGGGGGCAAGCGUUGUCCGGAAUUAUUGGGCGUAAAGGGCGCGUAGGCGGAUCGUUAAGUCCGGUGUGAAAGAUCAGGGCUCAACCCUGAGAGUGCAUCGGAAACUGGAGAUCUUGAGGACAGGAGAGGAAAGUGGAAUUCCACGUGUAGCGGUGAAAUGCGUAGAUAUGUGGAGGAACACCAGUGGCGAAGGCGACUUUCUGGACUGUAACUGACGCUGAGGCGCGAAAGCGUGGGGAGCAAACAGGAUUAGAUACCCUGGUAGUCCACGCUGUAAACGAUGAGUGCUAGGUGUAGGGGGUAUCGACCCCUUCAGUGCUGCAGUUAACGCAAUAAGUAAUCCGCCUGGGGAGUAUGCACGCAAGUGUGAAACUCAAAGGAAUUGACGGGGGCCCGCACAAGCGGUGGAGUAUGUGGUUUAAUUCGACGCAACGCGAAGAACCUUACCAGGGCUUGACAUCUACAGAAUCCUUAGGAAACUAGGGGUGCCUUUCGGGGAGCCGUAAGACAGGUGGUGCAUGGUUGUCGUCAGCUCGUGUCGUGAGAUGUUGGGUUAAGUCCCGCAACGAGCGCAACCCUUGCCUUUAGUUACCAGCAUUCAGUUGGGGACUCUAGAGGGACUGCCGGUGACAAACCGGAGGAAGGUGGGGAUGACGUCAAAUCAUCAUGCCCCUUAUGACUUGGGCUACACACGUACUACAAUGGCGUAUACAGAGAGACGCGAAGUGGCGACAUGGAGCAAACCUCACAAAGUACGUCUCAGUUCAGAUUGAAGUCUGCAACUCGCCUUCAUGAAGUCGGAAUCGCUAGUAAUCGCAGGUCAGCAUACUGCGGUGAAUACGUUCCCGGGCCUUGUACACACCGCCCGUCACACCAUGGGAGUGGGUUGCUCCAGAAGUAGCUAGUCUAACCUUCGGGGGGACGAUUACCACGGAGUGAUUCAUGACUGGGGUGAAGUCGUAACAAGGUAACA
rnacentral:rRNA from 1 species